rnacentral:rRNA from 1 species
AAUAUUAAACAAUGGGCGAAAGCCUGAUCCAGCCAUGCCGCGUGUGUGAAGAAGGUCAUCGGACAGUAAAGCACUUAAAGUCGGGAGGAAGGACAGUACGUUAAUACCUUGCUGUUUUCACGUUACCGACAGAAUAGGCACCGUCUACCUCCGUGCCAGAAGCGGCGGUAAUACGAAUGGUGCAAGCGUUAAUCGGAAUUACUGGGCGUAAAGCGCGCGUAGGUGGUUUGUUAAGUUGGAAGUGAAAGCCCCGGGCUCAACCUGGGAACUGCUAUCAAAACUGGCAAGCUAGAGUAUGGCAGAGGGUGGUGGAAUUUCCUGUGUAGCGGUGAAAUGCGUAGAUAUAGGAAGGAACACCAGUGGCGAAGGCGACUACCUGGACUGAUACUGACACUGAGGUGCGAUAGCGUGGGGAGCAAACA